GGACCCGCACAAGCGGUGGAGCAUGUGGUUUAAUUCGAAGCAACGCGAAGAACCUUACCAGGUCUUGACAUCCUUUGAAGUUAUUAGAGAUAGUAAUGUUCUCUUCGGAGACAAAGUGACAGGUGGUGCAUGGUCGUCGUCAGCUCGUGUCGUGAGAUGUUGGGUUAAGUCCCGCAACGAGCGCAACCCUUAUCGUUAGUUGCCAGCAUUAAGUUGGGCACUCUAGCGAGACUGCCGGUGACAAACCGGAGGAAGGUGGGGAUGACGUCAGAUCAUCAUGCCCCUUAUGACCUGGGCUACACACGUGCUACAAUGGCGUAUACAACGAGUUGCGAACCGGCGACGGCAAGCUAAUCUCUUAAAGUACGUCUCAGUUCGGAUUGCAGGCUGCAACUCGCCUGCAUGAAGUCGGAAUCGCUAGUAAUCGCGGAUCAGCACGCCGCGGUGAAUACG
rnacentral:rRNA from 1 species